CCGGCGACCGGCGCACGGGUGAGUAACACGUAUGCAACCUGCCCUCUUCAGGGGGACAACCUUCCGAAAGGGAGGCUAAUCCCGCGUAUAUCGGUUUCGGGCAUCCGAGAUCGAGGAAAGAUUCAUCGGGAAGAGGAUGGGCAUGCGGCGCAUUAGCUAGACGGCGGGGUAACGGCCCACCGUGGCGACGAUGCGUAGGGGUUCUGAGAGGAAGGUCCCCCACACUGGUACUGAGACACGGACCAGACUCCUACGGAAGGCAGCAG
rnacentral:rRNA from 1 species